rnacentral:tRNA from 1 species
GGCUACCUGGCGCAAUGGUAGCGCGUUUGGCUUCGAU